rnacentral:rRNA from 1 species
CCUACGGGAGGCAGCAGUGGGGAAUAUUGGGCAAUGGGCGCAAGCCUGACCCAGCGACGCCGCGUGCGGGAUGAAGGCCUUCGGGUUGUAAACCGCUUUCAGCAGGGAAGAAGCGAAAGUGACGGUACCUGCAGAAGAAGCACCGGCUAACUAUGUGCCAGCAGCCGCGGUAAUACAUAGGGUGCAAGCGUUGUCCGGAAUUAUUGGGCGUAAAGAGCUCGUAGGUGGUUCGUUACGUCGGAUGUGAAAACCUGAGGCUCAACCUCAGGCCUGCAUUCGAUACGGGCGAACUGGAGUGUGGUAGGGGAGACUGGAAUUCCUGGUGUAGCGGUGGAAUGCGCAGAUAUCAGGAGGAACACCAAUGGCGAAGGCAGGUCUCUGGGCCACUACUGACACUGAGGAGCGAAAGCGUGGGGAGCAAACAGGAUUAGAUACCCUGGUAGUCCACGCUGUAAACGGUGGGCACUAGUUGUGGGAACCUUCCACGGUUUCUGCGACGUAGCAAACGCAUUAAGUGCCCCGCCUGGGGAGUACGAUCGCAAGAUUAAAACUCAAAGGAAUUGACGG